rnacentral:pre_miRNA from 1 species
AUGCGAAUUACUUGGGGGAUCUUGUUAAAACAUAUAUUCUAGUUUAGUAGGUCUGAAAAGUGGUCUUAGAGUCUGCAUUUCUUAUAAGCUAUCAGGUGAUUCCAGU